rnacentral:rRNA from 1 species
AAUAGAUACCCUGGUAGUCCACGCCGUAAACGAUGAGUGCUAAGUGUUAGGGGGUUUCCGCCCCUUAGUGCUGCAGCUAACGCAUUAAGCACUCCGCCUGGGGAGUACGGUCGCAAGACUGAAACUCAAAGGAAUUGACGGGGGCCCGCACAAGCGGUGGAGCAUGUGGUUUAAUUCGAAGCAACGCGAAGAACCUUACCAGGUCUUGACAUCCCGCUGACCGCUAUGGAGACAUAGUUUUCCCUUCUGGGACAGCGGUGACAGGUGGUGCAUGGUUGUCGUCAGCUCGUGUCGUGAGAUGUUGGGUUAAGUCCCGCAACGAGCGCAACCCUUGUUCUUAGUUGCCAUCAUUAAGUUGGGGCACUCUAAGGAGACUGCCGGUGAUAAACCGGAGGAAGGUGGGGAUGACGUCAAAUCAUCAUGCCCCUUAUGACCUGGGCUACACACGUGCUACAAUGGACGGUACAAACGGUUGCGAAGUCGCGAGACGGAGCCAAUCCGAGAAAACCGUUCUCAGUUCGGAUUGUAGG